rnacentral:rRNA from 1 species
CCAGCUCCAAUAGCGUAUACUAAAGUUGUUGCAGUUAAAAAGCUCGUAGUUGAAUAUCUGGUUGUGAAGUGCGGUCUGCCUCUAGGGGCAAGUACCAGCAAUUCGUAGCCAUCUUCGGAGAAUGCGGGUCUGUCAUUCAGUUGAUGGGCACGAGGACUCUGUCAUUUACUGUGAGCAAAAUAGAGUGUUUAAUAGGGACAGUUGGGGGUAUUCGUAUUCAAUUGUCAGAGGUGAAAUUCUUGGAUUUCUGGAAGACGAACUACUGCGAAAGCAUUUACCAUGGAUGUUUUCA